rnacentral:lncRNA from 1 species
GUCCGGCGGCGGCCCCUCAGCGGGCAGGUGCACCCAGCGCAGCCCUGGAUGGGGCGUUUGUGACAGCAGCGCGACCUCCUCGGUGCCCGCCCCCGGGUGCCCGGCCUCCCCUGGCGGAAGUGCCGCGCUCGAGUCCCCGAGUCCCGAGUGCCCGUGGGCGGGCCGGGGUCGCCCAGCUGCCCGGAGGCCGGUGUGGGCGCGGGGGCUGCGGGGACCCGAGGACGCCUGCUGCGGGAGCUCAGUCCGAAGGAGGUGGAGGAUCCAGUAGCAACAGCAAGCCUCGGGCGCUUCACGGUUAGCUUCUCGGAUGGCAGGAACCGUGACAGGUCGCCAGCUGAGGACGCUGCGGAUGCCCGGCCUGGAAGGGCCCGUCCCUCUGCUUCCCUGCGGGCCCUGCUCGCCGCCCUCUACUUGCCCGGUGCCCACAGGACCCAAGAAGCUCUCUCGAAGCGGAGACCAGGAAGGGCACGGUCCGAGU